UUGGCCAAAUUGUGGUCAAUCGUGAUUGCCAACCACGCAGAAAGGAGUAGGGUGUCCCUUCACGACAGGAUCACAUAGUUGGCGAUUGUGCGCUCUUUGCCUAGUAUUUGAUAAACUGAUUGAAUGAAAAUAGGACAAAUGAUGCACAAGCAGGGUUUGCAGUGGACUGGAAAGCUUUAAGGGUAGGACUUCAGAAGUGUUUUUUUUUUCAGACAGACAGACAGACUGAUUGACUGACUGACUGGGCUAUUCUUCAAAUUUCCUCCACAUCAAGAUUUCUAUCUGCACCAAUUUGUCACAGCUUGACACAAUUGUCCAUUUCAAAUCAGUUUAUCAUUUGAUCUGUUGGAGCCCAUCAGGAGAGGCGCGAGUGCAUCACAGAAUGACCGUCUUUAAGCAUACAUGGUGACAUUUGAAGUGACAAAGCACUCCAAGCAAGUGUGAAACCAGAUUCCUUCUAGGGGCCCCAUCAACUGUCACUCUGAGCCGGAGAUGAUUGACUCAGCGGGCACUUUCUCCAUUUGGAACAUGGUAUUCGUUACAAACACGGGCGUGUCAACCUUGAAGAGAAUGGGACAACCAGAGACACCAGUCCGGGAACUUUUCUGACACACCUCGCCGCUGCCAUCACAAUGCUGUCAACUGCUUCUCUCUUCUUUGGAUUCUCCAAUCACACACAAUUCCAUCCUCAUUCCUUCUCUCCGCCUUGAGUCUUCACUUACACAAACAACUAGAAAAAAGGGGGGCAGGGGCAGGGGGUUCUGUCUGAGCGAUGCAGUGUGGAUGUAUGAGCGCACGGCCUUGUUCUUGAACCGCCGUGAAACGUUGCCCCUCCAAAAAGGCAGCACUCGCCAUAAUUCCACUGUGACUGAAACUAUGUCUCGUGAUUUCGUGCAUGCUUAGCUGAGGUAAUCAAUCUCUUUGAAGUAGUGGCCUGUCUCAUUUGGAAACCAAAUAAAUGGACAAUUUCA